UAUUCUGAGAAGCCUGGAUGGUUGGG
rnacentral:piRNA from 1 species